rnacentral:rRNA from 1 species
UACGAAGGGGGCUAGCGUUGCUCGGAAUCACUGGGCGUAAAGCGCACGUAGGCGGAUUGUUAAGUCAGGGGUGAAAUCCUGGAGCUCAACUCCAGAACUGCCUUUGAUACUGGCGAUCUUGAGUCCGGGAGAGGUGAGUGGAACUCCGAGUGUAGAGGUGAAAUUCGUAGAUAUUGGGAAGAACACCGGUGGCGAAGGCGGCCAUCUGGACCGCAACUGACGCUGAGGAGCGAAAGCGUGGGGAGCGAACAGG